GCCCCGUUCGUCUAGAGGCCUAGGACGCCGCCCUCUCACGGCGGUAACACCGGUUCAAAUCCGGUACGGGGUA
rnacentral:tRNA from 1 species